rnacentral:misc_RNA from 1 species
UUCUAUUUGGACUUCUGCAAGCUUUGUGCACCAAAAGGACAGUAGCCUCGAGCUAAUGCUCUCCCCAGGCUCUCUGUGAUUGACGAGGAAUGCCUAGUUGAAAUGGUUUUCUGGUCUUUAUCAAUCGUUGACUUUUGAAGGCUAUUUUAAAGUAUAAUUCUGAAAAUAAUGCUUUUAAGAUGUCAUAGAAUCAACACAAUAAGAUUUUCAAGGCUUUGUGGACUAAGAUCCUUUUUGAAUAUAUGUAAAGUUUCUAUGUCUUCCCACAUCGAAAGAACUGAAUCAUCCUUCAGAAAUGAGGGCAUAUAUUUAGCUAAAGUAAUAAAAUUAAAUAACUUGUCAAGCACAGUGAAGAGUUUGGACCUUCAAGUGGCUGAUGGCUCCUUUGGCUUUAAACCAGGACAAUGGGUGGAUUUUAUUAUUCCUGGUUUAUCUGUUGUUGGAGGUUUUUCUAUUUGCUCAAGCCCAGAGGAACUUUUAAAAACUAGCAAUAUUCAACUUGCAGUGAAGUAUAGUGACCAUCCUCCUGCAAAGUGGGUGCAUACAAAGUGUAAAGUUGGUGAUAAAGUUCAACUGAGAGUUGGUGGGGAUUUCCAUCUUACCCUUCCACAAAGUAGUGUUGUCAAACCAAGUUUACUGUUCAUUGCUGGGGGUGUUGGGAUAAACCCUUUAUUGUCCAUGUUGAAGUUUUCUGCUGAACAUUCAUCAUUCUAUGGCAAUACAGCCCUUCUGUUUAGUGCAGGAUUGGAGGAUGAACUUCUUUUUAAGAGUGAAAUUAUUAGUAUUUGCAAAGAACACCGUCAUUUCAAGUGCAGUUUCUUUGUCAGUAAAGAGCGCAAAGAUGUGUUUGACCAGUGGACUAAAGGUGGACGAAUAACCAAAGAAACAAUUAAAACUACUAUUGCAAGUUUGGAUGUCAACAAUCUUCAGGUGUACAUUUGUGGACCACAGUCAAUGAUUUCUUUUGUUUCUGACAGCAUUCUUGCUCUUGGAAUUAGCAAUAACAGAAUUCACUUUGAGAAAUGGUGGUAAUCCAAGUUGACUGCAAUGUACUUUUAGUUAUGAAAAAAAAACAUUCUCAGCAAAAUGACAUUUAACAAAAAUAUUGGAUUGGGGUUGUAAGAGACAUUUUUUGUUUUAAUAUUGAAAUUAUUUAUUGACAAUUGUUGAUCUGCAAUUAACCAAUUGCACAAACUUCUUUACUGGUGAGUAGCAGUGGUAAUACAUUUUAUUUAUAAUUUUGUCAAUUUUUUUAUAAUUAUCAAUUUUUUUCUGAA